ACCCUCGUUGAACCAAGGCCCCCCGACCCGCUUUGGCUGAUCGGGGGGUUCCGGGAGCAAAUUCUGGUGGGCGAGUACAGUGGAUCCUAGAUCGAUCGAACAAGGUAACUUCGAAAACAAACUCCCGAAUCUUCCCAAACAGCUCUUCCAUAGUUUUUCCAGUCCGCAGCAACGACUCAGGUUUGGAUGGGCGAAAUCACGACGGCAGCCACAAAAAAAUGGAUCUCCGACAUCACACAACCCGACACACCUAAGUUUCGCGAGGCUCGGCCCCUC
rnacentral:lncRNA from 1 species